rnacentral:lncRNA from 1 species
UGUUUAGCAUAUAAUAAGUAAUUUACUUAAAAUAUGCACAUAAUAAUAAUAUAAUAUUAUUAUGCAAAUUAAAAAUAAUUAAUCAAACUUAAUAAGUCUAAUUAAUUAAAAUAGUGCAGUUCAUUUAAAUAAAAUCUGCAUAGCUCAUUUAAAUAAUAAAAAAAAAAUACAAGGGCCAACCAUUUUUUUUUAAAAUGCAGCCCAACAAAAGAAAUAAAUAACCCCAACCCAAUAACUAAAUAAAAAUCGGCCCAGUUGAUUAAAUGAAAAUGGCCCAAUCAGAAUAAAUAAAAAAAAUCUCGGCCCAAAACUAAUUAAAACCCAGCCCAUCACUAAUUAAAACCCGGCCCAACACUCAAUAAAAUAUGAAUGGCCCAGACUGAAUAAAAUAAAUCGGGCCCAGCUAAAUAAAAUCAAAAAUCGGCCCAAGCUUUUAAAAAUCGCAGCCCAAAUCUAUUCAAAAAUCGAAGCCCAUCACUCAUAAAAAUCGGCCCAAAUACUCGGCCCAAAUCCCUCAAGCCCAAACCUCUACCCUAUUUCCCCUCUCUUCCUUCAUUCUCACGCACACAACAUAUCUCUCUCUCCCUCUCAGCCGCUCACUCUCUCUCGCUCUCUGCGCUCUCCUGCCGCCGCCACCGGACGGCAGCGCCGUCCCCGGAGGCCGACGGCUCCGC